ensembl:lncRNA TCF4-AS2 TCF4 antisense RNA 2
AGAUGGCAUCAAAUCCAAUAAUCAUCACAGGAAUAGAAACCAAGGUCCAAGUUUGGGCAUCAGGAGGUAUCUUCAGGUUCUCUCUUCGUCUGCUUCCUAGUGUAUAGCCACAAGCCUACUAUACUGUGAUACAUAAAACCCAGAGAUGUGGCAAAUGAAAGUGGGAGCAACAAAACUACUACAGCGUAAGCCUGUAAUGCAAGGCGGAGGAAGGAAAGUAAAUGCUUAAAGUUUUCAUACAGCUAACUCUGUUGAUAGCUGCCAAGUAAAGAACCUAAAUUCAAGUGCUUUAUAAUUGUUACAAAUUGUGCCAAAGUACAGCGUGUUACAAUAAAUUAUGAAGCUUAUCUAAAUUAUAAAAGUAAUUAAACUUUCCUCAGAUACUCAUAACUCUGCCCUCCAUAAAUUUUCUGUUCAUUGCAUAUUCAAUACCUAUGUGUUCCAG